rnacentral:rRNA from 1 species
UUCGUCGGAAGAGUAGAGUGGCGAACGGGUGAGUAACGCGUGGGUAAUCUGCCCUUGAGUUUGGGAUAACUUCGCGAAAGCGGAGCUAAUACCGAAUAAAACUGACCUUGUUCCGGCAAGAUCAGUAAAAGAUGGCCUCUACAUGUAAGCUGUCGCUUAAGGAUGAGCCCGUGUACCAUUAGCUUGUUGGUAGGGUAAUGGCCUACCAAGGCAACGAUGGUUAGCUGGUCUGAGAGGAUGAUCAGCCACACUGGAACUGAGAUACGGUCCAGACUCCUAUGGGAGGCAGCAGUGGGGGAUCUUGCGCAAUGGGGGAAACCCUGACGCAGCGACGCCGUGUGAGUGAUGAAGGCUUUCGGGUCGUAAAGCUCUGUCAGGUGGGAAGAAAUAUCUCGAUACGAAUAAUAUCGGGGUUUGACGGUACCACCAAAGGAAGCACCGGCUAACUCCGUGCCAGCAGCCGCGGUAAUACGGAGGGUGCAAGCGUUGUUCGGAAUUAUUGGGCGUAAAGAGCGUGUUGGUGGUUGAACAAGUCAGGUGUGAAAUCCCUCGGCUCAACCGAGGAAGUGCAUUUGAAACUGUUCAGCUUGAGUACGGGAGAGGAGAGCGGAAUUCCCGGUGUAGAGGUGAAAUUCGUAGAUAUCGGGAGGAACACCGGUGGCGAAGGCGGUUCUCUGGCCCGAUACUGACACUGAGACGCGAAAGCGUGGGGAGCAAACAGGAUUAGAUACCCU